rnacentral:tRNA from 1 species
GGGCCCGUAGCUCAGCCAGGUUAGAGCGACAGGCUCAUAACCUGUUGGUCGUCGGUUCGAAUCCGGCCGGGCCCACCA